UACGUAGGUCCCGAGCGUUGUCCGGAUUUAUUAGGCGUAAAGCGAGCGCAGGUGGUUUAUUAAGUCUGGUGUAAAAGGCAGUGGCUCAACCAUUGUAUGCAUUGGAAACUGGUAGACUUGAGUGCAGGAGAGGAGAGUGGAAUUCCAUGUGUAGCGGUGAAAUGCGUAGAUAUAUGGAGGAACACCGGUGGCGAAAGCGACUCUCUGGCCUGUAACUGACACUGAGGCUCGAAAGCGUGGGGAGCAAACAGG
rnacentral:rRNA from 1 species